UCGGAUAUCAACUUGGGCGUUGGACAUUUGGAAUGUAAGAUCCGUGGGUGCACGUGGACACAAAUCAGAAGUCAGAAGUCUUCAGGUGACACCUCGCCGUGUCUCAGAUUUGUCCGUAGUCACCCUGGUCGUCACCUAAUUGGCUAUAAAUCAAAAGCACAGAGGAUAAACAGACAGUACUUACAUAAAAACUUCGCUUCUUCUUCACUUCGAGCUCACUUUUGUGACAAACAAAAAGUGUUUUCAUCUCGGCGUGAAAUCCUCAAAUCCAAUGUUUCAACACGAAUUCCUGCCCUGAACAAACUCUUGGGUUUCCGUACAUAAAUGUCAAUUGUUCCCAAGAUUUCAAAACAUUCCUUGGAGAUUUGUUUUCAACAAAAGAUCGCAUCUGCCUAGAAAGUGCUCAGGAAGUGCUUUUUGUUAGAAAUGACAAAGAAAGGUCCAUUUUUUCCUCUCUCCCGCGACGGUCCCAGAAUGGCUAAUCCUGUGCCGCCUUUUCCCCAUGGUGUGAACAUUUCUGGAUGAAGCAUCUUUUCACUUCACGGUUUUAAAAGCCGAAAAGACUUGGUAAAAUGCUAGUGCCGAUAUUAGAAGGCGAUUACAAUUAGGCCGCUGAAAUGUGCGCAUUAAAACUGUCAUAAAAGGCGGACAUAUAUCCUGGACUUCAAAGGCAGGCUGAACUUUUCUUUUCACAUUAACUCGCUUCGCCGUGGCCAUUAAAGUACGAGACUCGUUCGGUUCAAGAAUUUAUCUAUACUUCUUUUUUCCUUUGGCCCCCAUGCGUUGCCAUGCACGAUGUACUCGAGAGUCGGACACCCUUUAUCAAUGACAUAUUUCCAAUACACAGAGUUGUUACCCAGACCUCUAUUUUCCCGGACACCUUCGCUUGCUCUUGAUCGCAGCCAUGGGAAUGAUUUUGUCUCAUGUAGUUCCGUACUGCAAGUGGUUUGUUCCAAAAACGAGGUUGAUGGAGAUGGAUGGUAAACUUUCGUCUGUUUGGAGAGAGGUCAAUUGGAAGUGGUGUCCUUUAUCGGACGGUCCAUCUUGUUCAAUCCCUCUCUGGCUCAAAUGGUUUGCACUUUUCAUCAACAGGUGACGAAGCAUCCGUUUUACUCCCUGCUCGGCAUAAAGUAAACGAAAAAUCAGGAAAACAGGAUCGAAAGUCCAUUUGACGACUUCAAACAAAAAUGUCUUUUAUGAUGAGGAGAAGGCCAAAACUUGCUUCGGAUGUCCAAAAUGUCAGUUAAAAGUGACACGUGUGCCAAUAGUUGUGGCGAAGCGUCCAUACAUAUACAAACAAAAAAAUCAAUAUAAUUACGGUUCCCAGCCUCAUAUUUGCAUGAAAAAAAAGACAACUCCCUUUACGGAAGUGGUAUCAAUUUUAACCUGAACAAAAGAUAAUUUCUUAAAUAACACCUUGUGUACUACAAGCCUACAUAUUAUUUUCCUGGUCAAAAAAUGGAUAACAAACUUGGUUUUGACACAAAAAGUUCAGAUUGAGUUAUUGCAGCAGAGUAACCACAUUUGUGGAUGCACUCACACGUAAAUGUCUUUGGAACACAUCAUCCGAAGUGGAGAAUAGCUCUGUGGAUCCAAUGCUCUCUCGAUUUUCGCCCAGUUUUUAUCGGCCAACUUCAUUUUGCCAUCAUCGCACAAAAGAGAAGCAACAGGGCUUAGGAUAAUGACAAGAAGGGUGAAAGAAUUUGCUCCCGAGUGCCUUACGUCAAAGGCAUCUUCACUGAAAAGUGUCCGACCGACAACUUUAUUUGUUGAGAGCGUUCAAUCCAUGUCGUGCUUCUUUUCGCUCUUGCAUGACUAAUGUGUGCCAUCACUCCCGACAAACUGUUGCAAAGCGUGCCCGAAGACAUCACAUCGCGCCUCUCAUUCAUUUCGACAAAGAUGCACUCAGAUUCACGUUGAAGCAUUUGGAAGGCAAGAAAAAAAGAAGAAAAAUACCAAGAAGCUAUGGCAAGCUCGUUUCUUUUGUCUGAGCGAAAGAUGAGAAGACUUAUAUAAUUGAGCAUGGACCCUAAUCUGGAACACGCGCCGUCAUGACUGUGCCGCAUUACUCUGGCUUAGCUCGGCCUUCAUUACGUAAUUUGAGCCCCAGAGAGCAGGAGGCAAACAUGAUGCCUUAAAGUAACACAUACCUACACACCUAACUGAGGGAAUAGGUCGUUUGUUCGUUGACAAACACUUUUCUGACACUUUACCUUGGACAUGCCGGACCUUCAGCCCUCUUUACAAAACUGCUACGUCCGUACAGUGCAGGACAGAACAGUCCAAAGCGAAAUGACAUUUAGUGCCCCAAGAUCAUUUCCUGGUAGUCUUUUGGGUGUGAACGCUUGACUAACAUGGGCUUUGCCUUCACACACUCGGAGAAUGGGGCAGAGGAAGCGGACAUCUCUCUGGAGAUUGGAGAUUUAGCAACGAAUUCAUGCCUGGUUGCUUCCCAAGGCGAUGGUGAGGGUUGUGUUUCCUCUGGAGAGAUGCCCCGUUGCCACAAUAUACACUGACGAAAGG